rnacentral:rRNA from 1 species
ACCCCUUGAGAGUGGCGAACGGGUGAGUAAUAUAUCGGAACGUGCCCAGUCGUGGGGGAUAACGUAGCGAAAGUUACGCUAAUACCGCAUACGAUCUAAGGAUGAAAGCGGGGGACCGUAAGGCCUCGCGCGAUUGGAGCGGCCGAUAUCAGAUUAGGUAGUUGGUGGGGUAAAGGCUCACCAAGCCAACGAUCUGUAGCUGGUCUGAGAGGACGACCAGCCACACUGGAACUGAGACACGGUCCAGACUCCUACGGGAGGCAGCAGUGGGGAAUUUUGGACAACGGACGCAAGUCUGAUCCAGCCAUUCCGCGUGCAGGAUGAAGGCCCUCGGGUUGUAAACUGCUUUUGUACGGAACGAAAAGGUCUCUCUUAAUACGGGGGGCUCAUGACGGUACCGUAAGAAUAAGCACCGGCUAACUACGUGCCAGCAGCCGCGGUAAUACGUAGGGUGCAAGCGUUAGUCGGAAUUACUGGGCGUAAAGCGUGCGCAGGCGGUUAUGUAAGACAGAGGUGAAAUCCCCGGGCUCAACCUGGGAACUGCCUUUGUGACUGCAUAGCUAGAGUACGGUAGAGGGGGAUGGAAUUCCGCGUGUAGCAGUGAAAUGCGUAGAUAUGCGGAGGAACACCGAUGGCGAAGGCAAUCCCCUGGACCUGUACUGACGCUCAUGCACGAAAGCGUGGGGAGCAAACAGGAUUA